UACAUGGGGUGCAAACGUUGUUCGGAAUCACUGGGCGUAAAGGGUGCGUAGGCGGGUCUUUAAGUCAGGGGUGAAAUCCUGGAGCUCAACCCCAGAACUGCCUUUGAUACUGAGGAUCUUGAGUUCGGGAGAGGUGAGUGGAACUGCGAGUGUAGAGGUGAAAUUCGUAGAUAUUCGCAAGAACACCAGUGGCGAAGGCGGCUCACUGGCCCGAUACUGACGCUGAGGCACGAAAGCGUGGGGAGCAAACAGG
rnacentral:rRNA from 1 species